rnacentral:lncRNA from 1 species
ACCAUACAUGGACCCUGCCGGCCACAUGCAGUCCCUCCAGCGCUACCAACCACUGUGCACAGUCUCCACCAGCUGCCUGCAGUCCCUCCAGCCCUACUGACUACCAUGGAUGGACCCUGCUGGCCACCCAUAUCCCUUCAGCCCUACUGACCACCAUGCAUGGACCGUGCCAGCCAUCUAUGGUCCCUCCAGCCCUACUGACCACCAUGCAUGGACCCUGCUGGCUGCCCAUGGUCCCUCCAGCCCUACUGACUACCAUGCAUGGACCCUGCUGGUGAUCACAGUCCCUCCAGCCCUACUGACCACCAUGCAUGGACCCUGCUGGCUGCCCAUGGUCCCUCCAGCCCUACUGACUACCAUGCAUGGACCCUGCUGGUGAUCACAGUCCCUCCAGCCCUACUGACCACCAUGCAUGGACCCUGCUGGCUGCCCAUGGUCCCUCCAGCCCUACUGACUACCAUGCAUGGACCCUGCUGGUGAUCACAGUCCCUCCAGCCCUACUGACCACCAUGCAUGGACCCUGCUGGCUGCCCAUGGUCCCUCCAGCCCUACUGACUACCAUGCAUGGACCCUGCUGGUGAUCACAGUCCCUCCAGCCCUACUGACCACCAUGCAUGGACCCUGCUGGCUGCCCAUGGUCCCUCCAGCCCUACUGACUACCAUGCAUGGACCCUGCUGGUGAUCACAGUCCCUCCAGCCCUACUGACCACCAUGCAUGGACCCUGCUGGCUGCCCAUGGUCCCUCCAGCCCUACUGACCACCAUGCAUGGACCCUGCUGGCUGCCCAUGGUCCCUCCAGCCCUACUGACCACCAUGCAUGGACCCUGCCGGCCACCCACAAUCCCACCGACUGCCGUGCCUGGACUCUGCCAGCCGCCCACGGUCCCUGCAGCCCUGGGGCUUUGCUGAUGACAUCCCAGCAAGCAGCCCCAAAGGUUCCCUCAAACCAUUUGCUUGGCACCAUCCAAAAUCAUGGGUCUGCGUGAUCUCAGCCAAAGCCACCCAUGGGGUCGCGACUGGGGCCCCGCACAGGGCAAGGUCCCGCAAGCAGCUCGGCGCAGCC